GCGUCGGCGUCGGUUUUGCAUGCAGCCUUUUUUGAACGUUCCGCAUCGAUCACAAAUACUUCAUUCAAUCUCUUUCGUUUCCUGGUAAAGUUUGGCAAAAAGAAAGAUUCGUGGGUGCGCAGGGCAUGGCGGCUAUAACGCAGCGAUCCGACACAGCGAGACGGGCACAACGAAAUUGAAGUGCGACCAUGGAAAAUAUUUUGGAGACAUUGGCAGUGAAGCUGUUGCUGCAUAUGACUUCCACGUAAAAUUUAGCGGCUGCAGGACUUCGAGAACGAAAGGGAAUCAAUAUCAAUUGCAUAAUUGUUCGGAACGACGGGCGGAGUGGAGC